GGUCGUCCGCCCCUACCCACCCACCCGCCACGCCUUCAAAGCAGAGUUUCCGGCAUCUUUCCAGCGUGCUGGCCCCUCGUGGAGUAAGUCAGCCAAAGUGCGUGUGUGGGUGACAGGGCAUCUGAAGAACUGUCCUCGAUCCUUCCCGCCCCUGGAAGAAAAGCUACCGCUUAUCUUCAAGCCGGUACCCUGAGCCAACCUCAGCAUCAUCACUCCCUCCAGCCACCCAAGAUGGAGAGCCUACAAGUCUCACAUCUCCAGGGAAGUCUUACGGGGAGAGGUGGAGGCCCACAUGACUGGAGGUCACCAUAAGGGUCACAGUCUGUAGCUUUCAGAACUAACUCCAUACAGCCCCACUGAAGUGGUUAACGUGAGGAAAAAGGGUCAUUGUGACAGUUGAUCAGUCUUGUUAGGGUAAGGGAGGGGAUACAGUGCACCGAAGUUGGAUUUGGCCAGGUGAGAUUUGUGUUUCUUUUUCUGUGCAUGAUUUCUCUCUGAAGAGAAGUGGACAGUAUCCGUGGCCUGAAAAUCCUUCAAUCCCAUCUCUUUGUGCUUUCCCAGAAUGCAAAAUACUUUCUGACUUUUCAAGAUAGUUUUAUUUGAUGCUGUCUCCUGGUCAAUUUCACUUCCCUACCACCCUUUAAAUAUAUACUUUGAGAAAACCUUAAUAAUCACAAUCUUUGCUCAUUCUUCAGUUGCAAGGGACAAACAUUUCUGCUCUCCUCAAAGAUGAGCAAAGCUGCUUUUCUAAACAACUUAAACUCUUUUUAAAAAAGAGGGUGCCUGUGAACAGAAUAAAUACAAGCCUGAGUGGGGAGAUGAAGUGGUGAGCACACUAAGAGGUUCUUCUUUAAAAAACUUGACUCUGGGGCCAGCGCUGUGGCAUGGUAGGUUAAGCUUCUGCCUAUGGUGCCAGCAUCCCACAUGGAUGCCAGUUUGAGACCCAACUGCUCCACUUCAGAUCCAGCUCCCUGCUAAUGCACCUGGGAAAGCAGUGGGAGAUGGCCCAAGUGCUUGGACCCCUACGCCCAUGUGGGAUACCCAGAAGAAACUUCUGGCUCCUAGCUUCAACUUGGCCUAACCCGGGCCAUUGUGGGUAUUUGGGGAGUGACUCAGUGCAUGGAAGACCUCUGUCUCUCCUCCUCUCUCUAGCUCUGCCUUUCAAUUAAAUAAAAAAUAAAGCUUGAAUUAAAAAAAAAAAAAACCUCUUGCAGCCUUACCAUGAAGGGAACCUAAACCUGUUGAGUAGCAACUCAAUCCAGCAAUUUUGGUUCAGAUUUUUGUGGUCUUUGUCCCCUGAAUAUUAAUCAGCUGCUAACUGUAAGUGAUAAUAACAUCGUUCAAACUGGUUUCAGUGUGACAGGAAAUGUACUAGCCCAACUAACUGGAAAUUUCAAAAGAAAUGCUGGUGUUUGACACACCUGGAUCCAGGCGCUCAAAGGUAGAAUAAAGGUGAGCCUCUUUUCAUCUCUUUUAGUCUUGGGUCCUCACGAGCUCCAGAUUGCUCAGCUUUUCUGCACAAAGGGAACAUCGUCUUCCCAAUCAACAGACCAACAGGCCCCAGGCUCUGCUCUCACUGGCCUAAAAUGCAACCAACUGCUCUGUUCAGAGGGAAAGAAUACAUCCAACUAUCAGGCUCUAGUCUCAUGCACACCCUGGUGCUGUUCAAGUGAAAAGGAACUUGGGAUCUAGGAAAAGUCAGUUGUUUGGACAAGAGUGGGGAGAGGCAUAGUUUCCUAAAGAAAAUCCACUGGAAGCACAGCAAGGAGAAUAAAUAUUGGGAAGGCAGAGCAACACACAUCUAGUAUGCUUAGCUGCUGAUGCACAGAUCCAAACACAGUUGUGUGUGUCCAAGAAUCUUCUGUUACCUGGAGUGGACAGAAAGGACCCCACAAGAAAUAGCCAGUCUAUAGCCUCAACACAUGCUACAGGCACUUUCUACAAAAGGAAAUUCAGAAUCCCACUGCAUACACUAAAAAUUCACAAUUAAUUGAUGAGCUCAUCCAUAUCUACUCCUCAAAACAAAGAGAAAGAGAAAUGACAUCACUGAAUGUACAUCCAUGUCUACAUCCAGUAAUGUGCCCAUUGCAAUUAAAUUCCCAUGUCUAACUGUACUCCUGGAAUUAAUUCUACUGUCAUGGCAUUCUAUCACGUGGGUGACAAACACUUUUCCAAUGCCCAAAAUAGUCUCUAUUCUCAGCCCAGGAGAUGAGAUCUGGACUCCCAUCUCUUCCCACCCCUGUAAGAUCAGCCCCUCUACAAUUCCAAGUGUUCAACACUAUCAAAAGUCUCUCCAUAUUAUUAUUGUUAACUAAAAUUAAGUAUAUGCUGGACCCAUCUAUCAGGCCAUACCUCUUUCUAAUCCAAUUAGACUCUAGUAAAGAUUUAUUAAGCACAAGGUGACACAAAGCUAUAAAAUAUGAGAAAAUAUACCUCAAUAACUAUAAUUUGAGAAAACAUUAGUAUCAUUCUUACUUGCUGUGAAAGACCCAAUGCUUGCCUCCACUCUAAGCCCAGGUCCUGCCAAUCUGAGUGCUAACAGAUAAAUAAAUUUAUGCAUAUGGAUUUUUAGUUUGCAAUUCCUUUAUGUAAUUUCUUUCUCCAUAAUACCCACAGAGACACAUAAACAGACCAGAACCCUUCAAGUUCUAUACAGGUGAAGGUACUAGGUAAAUCUCAUAAAUUACACACUAGGGAGCAUAAGCCCUCCUAAAAUCCUCUCUACUGCCACCUCAUGGCCUUCAACUGUAAAUGAACUGCAGUCUCUGGAGAUGGGGGUUAAGAUUCUGAAACGCGUGAGAAAGCUUUCUUUCACUCCACAGACAGAAAGUUGGAGCAACUACAGAUCUUAAAAGGCCAUAGUAAUAUUUCAGUGUAGAUUCUGACUGGCUUUAGGCCAAAGUCUAAACUUGUUUGGGUACUGCUAAAUUGAACAGUAAGCCUUCUCUUUUCAUCUCUACCAUGUUCCAAGCAUCACUCAUUAUUGUAUUAUUAUCUCAUUUGGUUAUUUAGCAUUAGUAUUUGACUUGUUAUCCUGAAAAAGUGCAUAGGCUUUUACAUAUAUUUCUACAUAAAGGAAAUUGUUUUGAUAAAUGAUUGAAAUUAAGGAGUGUUCUUUAAAAUGAUGUUAUUUAUUCCCUCUUUUAUGUACUGAAAUAAAUCUGUCUCAGACACUGCUUGACAGUAUAGAUGAAAAGGUGUUUGGCCUAGCAUUAACAUGAAAGUUAGUAUGCCCAUGCCCAAGUCAGAGUGCUUGGGUUCAACUCCCAGCUGUCACUCCUGAUUUUAGCUUCCUUAAUGCAGACCCUGGGAGGCAGUGUGGAUGACUCAUGUAGUUGGGUUUCUGCUACCUAUGUGUGAGACCUUGACUGAGUUCACAGACCCUGGCCAGGGCUCCCCUAGCCCUCGUAGGCAUCUGGGGAGUGAGCCCACAGAUGGGAGAACUCUCUCUCUGUGUUGCUCAAAUAAAUAACUAGGUUUUUUUUUUUUAAGGUAGGAGAACAAUUCCUUAGGAAAAGAACAGAUGUGGUUCGGUGAAACGCAUUAACUGGCCAUUUUGGCUGUGCAAAAAUUCCCUCAGGGGCAGGCAGUAUAGUGCAGCAGGUUCAGCUUGGAGUACCUACAUCCCAUACUGCAGUGUAUGGGAUUGAGUCCUGCUUCUUCUUUCAAUCCAGCUUCCUUUUAAUACACCUGGGAGUUAGCAGAUGAGGGCCAACUACUUGCGUUCCUAUCACCCACAUGGGAGACCUGGCUGGAGUUUCUCAUUCUUGGCUUUAGCCUGGCCCAGCCUGGCCCAGCCUGGCCCAGCCUGGCAGUUGCAGGCAUUUGAAGAGUGAAUCAACAGAUGUAAAUUUAAAAUAAAUAAAUCUUUUUAAAUUUAUUUUUUUGAUUUUAUUUAAGUUAUACAAGUUUCAUGUAUUUCAUUUAUACAAAUUUAGGAACAUACUGAUACUUCCCACCCUAUCCUCUCUCCCACCCAUGCUCUAACCCAUCUUCCUCCUCCCUCUCCCAUUCCCACUCUUAAUUUUUACAAAGAUCUACUUUCAGUUUGCUUAAUGACUGUAAGGUUAACCCUAUACUAAGUAAAAGAGUUCAACAUAGUAUGAAGAAAAAAACACUGUUCCUCAACAGAAGAGACAAGGUCCACAAACAAUCAUUGAAUCUCAAAAUAUCCAUUCUUUGAAAAAUAAUUGCAUGGACCCAGAGAACUAUCUUGUUCUGCGUGGUAAAGGAGGAACAGUUUGAGUUUCCCUCAGAGAUUUCAGAGGAGCAGGAACUAGGAAUGUGAGAAGCUGGGAGAUGAGGACAGGCUGGCCUCAGAAGGGCAUUGACAGGGAGCCUUUUCUCCAGAAAGGUGGCGGUCGGCCCCUCCAUGACAGGUUAGCACCAUGUGCCAGUGCUUGGGGAAGCUCAAGUUCUCAACACCUUAAUGGAUGUUCCAUGCCUUCAUUACCUCUUAACAUCUUUCCUAUAUUUGUCUCUGGGCUACAUUUUUUUAGAUAUGAAAGAAAGAUGUUUCAUCUGCUUGUUCAAUCCCCAAAUGCCCACAGUGGUCAGGGCUGGACCAAGUUGAAGCCAGGAGCCUGUAACCAGCAUCCCACAUGGAUGGUAGAAAUGCAGUCACUUGAGCCAUCACCCCUGCCUCCCAGGGUCCACAUUGGCAGGAAGCUGGAAUAGCAUUCAAGCCAGGACUUGAACCCAAGCACUCCACUAUAGGAUACAGGCAUCCAAAGGGGUAUAUGAGCUGCCUUGCCAAAACCUACCCCACCAGGCUUGCCAUGGAUAUUCUGCAGUCCGUAGGAUACCCAUGUCUUAAAAUAUAUAAUGUGUGUGUGUGUGUGUGUGUGUGUAUAUAUAUUUGUUUUCUUUAUUUGAAAGGGAAAUUUACAGAAAGAGGCAGAGGGAGAGGUCUUCCAUUCGCUGGUUCACUCCCCAAAUGUUUGCAAAAACAACAACCACCAGGACUGCAACAAUGACAAGAAGAAGAAGCCAGGAGCUUCCUCCACAUCUCCCGCAGGGUGCAGAGGCUCAGACAUUUGCACCAUCCUCAGCUGCUUUCCCAGGCAAGUUAGCAGAGAGCAGGAUCAGAAGUGGAGCAACCCGGGACUCAAACCAGCACCCAUAUGGGAUGCCAGUGCUGCAGGCCAGGGCUUUAACCUGCUAUGCCACAGCGCUGGCCUGAGACCCAUCCGUUUGCAGUUCCUAUUAAACAGAGAGUGCAUUCUAUGUAGAAAAUACAUGGAUUAUAAAGAUGAAGAACUGAGAAUAUCCCUUUCUCAGACUGUGGCACCAUAUCCUUGAGAAGGAGCAAUAAAACCUUAAAAAUGCACAUCUUGCCCAGAUGGAGAAAUGAGACUUCCAAAUAAAGGUGAAAUCCUUAAAUAUCACCCCAGAGUUAUGCUAAAAACUAUUGCCUUAAAGAACUUGAGAAGAGAAAACAUUUUAAAUUCCAGUCCCCAGAGAGCAAAGGUUUCUGGCUCAGAGGAGCUCCAGCAUGCCAGGACACCUCCUGUAACCCUGCCGACAGUCCAGUGUCUACCGGCUCCUCAGGAAGCCAGAUCUGAGGCGGAGCUCUCAGGGACACUUGCGGAAUCAACACCCAUGGAAAAGAAAGGAAAAGCAGGCAGGACUGGGCCUCAGCCAACCUUAGGGGGAGCUCUGAAGACAGAUUCAUCAAUGUCAUCCCAUGAUAAUCAGUCUCUGGGUGGGCGUGACCUUGGGUGAGGUAGGUCUCGGCGGGGGCUGUCUGGGAUAGAGGCUGGCAGCGCAGGGCUGUCUGCCAGGCUCCUUCUUUGCUGGGAGGGCCCUGUUUGGUGCAUCCCAGCAUCCGCUGCCCUGAAAGCCCUAGCCAUCACAUGGAGAGUUCCCCAAGCUCAGCAUCUCCCGCCUCUGAAAAUGCCAGGAUUCUUUCAUCAGAUUUCUUCAGUAUAAGAUUAAGGCCUCCAGGCAUGAUCACUAAAGACUUCUGCUCUUAGGAAAGAACAAUGUAGGGCAGCUGUUGGGUGCAGUAGUUAAGUCUCUUUGGGACACCUGCAUCCCAUAUUAGAGUCCCUGGUUCAAGUCCUGGCUCUGCUUCCAAUUCCGCUUCCUGCUAAUGCACAUCCCCAGAAACAGCCAGUGAUGUCUCCAGUACUUGGGUCCUUGUGAUGCAGGUGGGAGACCCAGAUUGAGUGAACCUGCUGGUUCACUUCCCAGACGCCUCCAAUGGCUGGGGUUGGGCCAGGCCAAAUGUCAAAUGGAAUAUUCUCUCUCUCACUUGGCCUUUCAGAUAAAUUUUUUUAAGGAGCAACCUUUUACCAUAGUCUCAAACAAAAUCUCUUUAUUUCUUCAUAGUUUUAAUAUUCUUCAACCAUCCAGGAUUUUUAAAAGGCUUCAGUAAAACCAGAAGUUGGAUUAUCUAUAAACAGGAAACCAAAGAAGUCUAAAAAAAUUUUUCAAUAUUACAAUUUUAAUUCAGAAGGUUAAAAUUAUGGGGUAAGAAAUGCCGACACUCACUCUGAAUUACCCUUAAAAAUGACUCUUUUUAGUUGUGCUUUUUAAGUCCAUGGUAAUUAUUAGCAUUUGAAAAAGAUGAUUCUGUUGAGUCCUAACUAGAGCUACAAACUGGCUAAACCUUGUGACUCAGCCUAGAGAGAUGAAAAUAAAAUGUGAAUGGUUCAAGUAGUCAAGAGAAACAGGGAACAUUGUUUCUGAUUUUCCAAUUGGAUAUAAAUUUCCCCACUCACAGCCUCUGAACUCAGGUGUAUCAACACUACCCAAAUAAUUUGCAUUUUGUGCAACCCUACCUGUUUACCCAGGUGGCUGGUGGGAGCUGACUAACUGAUAAUGCUGAAAAGAAAGUGAAAAAAAGUCCAUUUGCAACCUGGUUUUGCCUUCCUUGUGCCUUACUCGUAUCUUCCAUAGGCUCCUGGAUGCCCAGAACAAACUCUCUACAGUUUCUCCUCAGUGCUUUUUAUGUAGAAGUGUUAUUGAAGAACAUAAACCAAAAUUUAAUAUUUCGGGUUCAUGCUAUUUGCCUAGAUUAGAAUUCUAAGCACCUGCCCAUAUGAAAUAGACAACAUGGUAAAGUUCAGGAUUUAUUUGGAAAGUGAGAGAAAUACAUAGGAACGUGAGGGCUUUGUUAAGGAAAUGUGGGUCAGAAAGAGUAAGUGGGGCAUUCCACACCAGCCUUUUCCAGAGGGCAGGCCAGAGGCUGUGAGAGGAGAGUGGUGAGAGGGCAGGCAAGCACAGCACGGGAGAGCAGGCAGGAGAAGCGGCAAAACAGGGCCAGCUCAGCACACGGCAGCCUCAUAUCCACUUCCAAAAUGGGAGUGGUUAUGUAGUCUGAUUGACAGGUGGAUGGAUAUAGGUGAGAUCACACAGGGGUCAAGGAGGUGUGGCCUCCAGUUCAUGAGCACAAUUCUGUCUCCCUGAUUGGGUAGAUAUCAUUGUCCCCUCAGAGAUUCCAGACCGUUAAUCUUAAGGAGGUACUGAAGGACAUAGACUCAUCAUAUCUCCUAUACCUACUUCCUGCUGAUCAGGGACACAGACCCUGCUUGUCCUAGGUCCGGAAAUCUCUUCCUGUCUCAUCUAAUGAAUUCAUUCUUGAGCUGGAGAAGUUUCAGUCACCACCAAUGGCUGUAUCCCCUACAUGGUCAUCAUUACUCUAGGAAGUCAUUGAGUUCUGAAACACACAAGUUUAUCAGUCAGCAUAAACAAAACUGGAACAAAACCAAUUGUAAGUGGAGUGCCCUUUAUGAUGGAAAGAACAUAUUUUAUAGACUCCCAGAUGGUGGGUGGUGAUAGGCUAUCCUUAUGCAGAUUAUAAAACUAUUUAGCAUGAGCAUAGAGAUUUUAAUGUCUCUUUCAGUAAACAUACUACUGUUCAAGUAAAGGUGGCAGAUUCCAUCAAUCACAACACAGGUUCCUCCUUGUUCUAUUAAUACGUAUUCCAAAGCCUGUCUGUUGUCUAUAACUAUCUUGGAGAGAGUGUCCACAGACAUAAGUACUUGCUGUAAAAGCUGGUCUGAAGUGUAAGCCAGAUUACCUAAAGCUAUGGUCAAGUGUUUUUUGUUUUUUUGUUUUUUUAUUUUUUUAAUUAGCUUCAUGUGGUUCACCAGGACAGGUAGUAGUUUAAGCGACAUUUUGGCUGUCUCCUGGAAAAGCUUAGCUAGAAUUUUCUUAAAACUAUGAUUAGUCUCUUCAACUUUACCCAAUGGCUGAGGUCUCCAAGAGGAAUGGAGAUGGUAAGAAAUUUCUAGAGCAGUAGCUACCUGUUGAGUUAUUUUAAAUAAAAAUGAAGGUCCAUUGUCACUCUGAAGUGACUGUAGGAGUCCAAAGCAUGGUGCAAUGUCCUUCAGCAAGGCUUUGGAUACCUCCUGUGCCUUUUCUUUUCUUUUUUGAAGAUUUUAUUUAUUUAUUUGAAAGUUAGAAUUACAGACAGUGAGAGGGAGAGACAAAGGAAAAAGUCUUCCUUCUGUUGGUUCACUCCCCAGAUGGCCGCAACAGCCAGAGCUGCGCCGAUCCGAAGCCAGGAGCUAGGUGCUUCGUCCUGGUCUCCCAUGGGGGUACAGGGGCCCAAACACUUGGGCCAACUUCUACUGCUUUCCCAGGCCAUAGCAGAGAGCUGUUUAUAGUGGAGUAGACACUGAAUGUUCUCCGUCCACCCUCUAUCAAGGUUCCCCGUUGAUUCUGGUUGCCUGUAGCUCAUUCCUAGAAUAUUCUUCAGGAAUGUUCUUGGGGAAGACAUUCUAAGUUUAUAAGUUUGUGUCCUGAAUACUUAAAUUUGGCUGGACACAAAAUCCUUGGAUCUUUCUUACUUUGUUUUCUUUCUCAAAAAACUUUUUUUUUUUUUUUAAGAUUCGUUUAUUUGAAAGGUAGAGUUACAGAGAGGCAGAGGCAGAGAGAGAGAGGUCUUCCAUUCACUAGUUCAUUCCCUCAAAUGGCUGCAGUGGCUGGAGCUGAGACAAUAUGAAGCCAGGAACCAGAAGCUUCUUCCAGGUCUCACUCACAGAUUCAGGGGCCCAAGCACUUGGGCCAUCUUCCACUGCUUUCCCAGGCCAUAGCAGAGAGCUGGUUUGGAAGAGGGGCAGCCAGGACUUGAACCAGUGACAAUAUGGGAUGCUGGUACCACAGGCAUAGGAUUAACCUACUGCGCCACAGAGCCGGCUCCCCGGUUCCUUUUCUGUUUUAGAUGGAAAGGCUUAUAUCUAUCCUGUGAAGGUAUCAAUAAAAACUAGAAGAUAUUUAUAAUUAUUUGUUGGAGGCAGUUAGUGAAGUCAAUCUGCCAUCUGCACUUGGGUAUCUUCCUCUGCUUGGCACAGGAGUCAGCAAGGAGGCAGUUUUACAUGACCACCAGAAUUAUUUUGUAAACACAGUGUGCAAGAAUGAGUUACUUCCCUCAUGAUAGCAUUUAGUCCUUUCCCUGCAAACACUCAAGAGACUGUUUGCAUCAAAGCUUCUCUUCCCAGAUGAGUAGAAUCAUGUAUUUCCUUAAUAAUUUUCCAUUGAGAAGCCAUUGGGAACAUAACCUUGUGAUCCAAAGCCCUCAUCCAUUAGCAUCUUUAGUAUAACCCCGUUGUUGGGCCCAUUCAAUCUCAGACUUGAUGUAGUAAGGUUCUUUAGUCAUUACUACAGGUUGAUGUAGUGGAGCUAUUUCUAGAGCUUCCUGUGCAGUUCUUUUUGCUGCUUUAUCUGCUACUGCAUUUCCCGAGCUAACAUAGAUGUCUCCCUUCUGAUGUCUGUUACAGUUAAUGGCAGCCACUUCCAAAAACUCUAGUACUACCUGAAGUAGAGCCAUUAUCUCCUUUCUGUAUUUAACAGGGGAAUUCUUUGCAGUCAGUAAGCCUCUUUCUCUCCAAAUUGUUGCCCGUGUGUGUAAUGCACGUAAAGUAUAUUUGGAAUCUGUAUAUAUAUUAACUCACUGACCUUUUCCUAGUUGCAAGACUCUAGUUAAUGCAGUAAAUUCAGCCUUUUGAGCUGAAUUAUUGCUUGGUAAUGCUUGAGUUUCCAUUUCCUGGGUAAUAUCUACUAUAGCAUAACUUGCCUUUCUAAUUUCUUCUUUCAUGUAGCUUUGGCCAUCAGUAAGCCAUUCAGCAUCUGGUUUCUCCACAGACUCAUCUUGUAGGUCAGGUCUACUAGAAUACACCUGGUUUAUAGUUUCUACACAAGAAUGAGUUAACUCUUUCUAGUACCCUCAAGUGGUAACAGAGUUGCUGGGUUGAGGACCUGGCACACUUUAAGAAUUUUCUCAGACAAGUCUAACAGUAGAGCCUGAUGUUUUAUGAGGUGCCCUCCUGUUAGCCAUUGAUGUCCUUUAACUUCCAACACCCCUUGCACCUAGUGUGGAAUUUGAACUUCAAGUGGCUGGCCAAACGUCAGUUUGGUGGCUUCCUCCACCAAGAGUGCUGUAGCAGCAACAGCCCUUAAGCAUGCAGGCCACCCCGUAGCCACUGAAUCUAGCUGUUUAGAAAAAUGGGCCACUGGUUAUGGAAGUGGACCCAAUUUCUGAGUCAGUACUCCUAGAGCAACCCCCUGUUUCUCUGCUGUAAACAUGGUGAAUGGCUUACUCAGGUUAGGAAUUCCUAAUGCUUGGGAUUCUGUUAAAAGCUCUUUAAUUCUUUGAGAUGACUUCUGUAACUGCCCUGUCCAGCAAAGUAGGUCUGUGUCAGGGCCUUUUAAAGCUUCCUACAAAAGGUUGGCUAUUAAUCCAAACGCUGGAAUACAUAUUCUACAGAGUCCUGCUGUUCCCAGAAAUGUUCUCAGCAGCUAUUUCAUCUGUGGUGACUCCACACAUAGAAUAGCUUCCUUUCUCUUGACUGAAAGUGCACGCUUCCCUGGGGAUAGAAUAUAUCCCAGGUAACCUACCUCUUGUUUAGAAACCUGAGCUUUUGUUGAGGAAACUGUAUCCUCAUUCCACUGUGAAGCUCAAAACCUGGGUGGUAUUUUUAUCUGAAUCCUCCCUAGAGGGGCUGCAGACUAGAAUAUCAUCUACAUAUUGAAGACUGUGCCAUUAUUUAGCUCUAAUUUCUCUGGGCUCCUUUGCAAGUACAUGUGCGCAGGCUGUCCCAGAACCUUUGGGGGAGCACGGUCCAUGUGUAUUGCUCAGUUAUACCUGAAGCUGGGUCAGUCCAUCCAAAGGCAAAUAAAAAUGCUGAACUUAAUGGAACGCAGAAGAAAGCAUUCUUUAGGUAUAAAGCUGUAUACCACCAGUGCCGUGGCUCACUAGGCUAAUCCUCCACCUUGUGGCGCCGGCACACCGAGUUCUAGUCCCGGUUGGGGCACCGGAUUCUCUCCCGGUUGCUCCUCUUCCAGGCCAGCUCUCUGCUGUGGCCAGGGAGUGCAGUGGAGGAUGGCCCAAGUCCUUGGGCCCUGCACCCCAUGGGAGACCAGGAUAAGUACCUGGCUCCUGCCAUCGGAUCAGCGCAGUGUGCCAGCCGCAGCGCGCCGGCUGCGGCGGCCAUUGGAGGGUGAACCAAUGGCAAAGGAAGACCUUUCUCUUUCUCUCUCUCUUUCACUGUCUACUUUGCCUGUCAAAUAAAUAAAUAAAUAAUAAAAAAAAGCUGUAUACCAUGGGGUCCUUUCAGGUAUUUGUGUCAAUAAAGUAUAAGGACUUGGCACAAUAGAAUGAAUUGGAAUAACUGCCUCAUUAAUAGCCCUGAGGUCCUGAACCAUCCUGUAGUCUCCAUUCAGUUUUAAAACAGGCAAGGUAAGAGUAUAACAGGGAGAUUGACAUGGGACCAAGAGCCCGUGUUUGAGAAACUUAUCAAUCAAAGGUUAGAGACUCCAUCUCCUAGCUUCUGGCUUUAUUGGAUAUUGGCGCUGGUCAAAAAAUGCAGUCUUAGCCUUUAAGAAAAUCUUGACAGGCACAGCAAGUGUAACCUGUCCAGGAAUUCCUUGAUCCCAAACUCAGGGAUCUACUCUUUUAUUUUUUUAAAGAUUUGUUUGUUUGAAAGUCAGAGUUACACAGAGAGGGAAUGAGGGACAGAGAGAGAGAGAGGUCUUCACUCCCCAGUUGGUCACAACAGCUGGAGCAGCACUGAUCCGAAGCCAGGAGCCAGGAGCUUCUUUCUGGUCUUCCCAUGCAGGUGCUGGAGCCCAAGGACUUGCACCAUCUUCUACUGCUUUCCCGGCCAUAGCAGAGAGCUGAAUUGGAAGCAGAGCAGCCAGGUUUUGAACCAGCACCCAUAUAGGAUGCCAGCACUGCAGGCAGUGGCUUUACCUGCUACACCACAGUGCCAGCCUAUACUCUUUCUUUUAUAUCAGUAGGAAUAUUAUCUAAACUAGGAUGUGCCUCAUCCUAGUACUAGUACUAGCUAGUACUUACUAGCAUCAUAACUAAUUACUUACACUUAGGGGAAGUUAACUUUUAAAAAGCAUCUAAAGGUGAUAACAAAUCUGUUCCAAGCAAUGGAGUUGGAUGCUCCAACAUAACUAAAAAUUGGUGAGUAACAAGAACAUCUUCCAUCUGACACAUCAAGGGUAAGGAGAAUCUUUGGGACUGAGGUUUCUCAUCAACUCUCUUAACAGUGCAACUUUCAAGGGAAAGGGGUCCAGCUUGGGAAGUGAGCACAAAGUAGCUCCUGUGUCAAUUAAAAAAUUAACAUGCUUCCCUGCAACCUCAGUAGUCACCCAGGGCUCUUGACAUGAUAAGCCUAGGCUGUGGAAGCCAUUUGAAUCCCCAAAUUCUAUCAGUCUUCAGAUAAGGCCAUGAGCAAAGUGGAAGUCUGAUGACCACUUCUUUCCACUGGGGUCUCACCCACAGAGGUCCUCCUUUGAUGACCACUUCUUUCCACUGGGGUCUCACCCACAGAGGUCCUUCAUGUAGGGAGACAUUUUGCAUCAGUGCCCUGACUUUCCAUGGCUGAAAUGCUCUUGUGGGCCUUUCAGCCAGAUCAGAAUGCUUAGGGGCUGACUCUGAGGUCACUGAGUACUACGUACAGCAAUUGCCAUUCUAUGAGUCUACUGUAUGGACUGCUUCCAUAUUGAAGCACUCUCUCCUGUUUUAAUCCUAUCUAUUAUUAAUAAACAGUUAAUCCUAUCUAUAUGAUCAUAUGAUCACCAAACACUUAAAGUGCUAUUUUUACCAUCUAGCUUAAGGAGAGUUGGGAUCUCAUGGUAAGUCUGCAGAACUAUACAGCUGAACAAUCUCUUUGUAGGACCUGAGAAGAUAAAAACAGACACAGCUCUUCACAAGAUUAAUUAUCUUUAAGCAUAUAACUUGGAUGCACUGAAUUAGCUAUAAUUUUGACACCUUAAAGUCUCCAUUUGUACAUAAAAUGGGGCCCAUUACUUUACCCAGCCCACUGAGGGGGCUCCCAAUUUUUAUCUUUUUCUUUAACCCAGUGUAAAGCUAAAACGCCAUACCAAAACAAAAAUACAACACCACCUUGUCCAAGAUGAACUCUCAGAAGGCCCACUGUGCCAGGGAUACUAAACCCUAGGAGGCCACUGCCAUGCCUGGGGAAUGGAACCCUAGGAGGACAAAGAGAAUCAAUGUAAAGCUAAAAUAAAAAUAUGGGAAUCCAAAAGGGGACCAGUGCAUAGCCAAAAAGAUAAGCGAGCUGGUGUGAAGCCAAAAGGUUAAAAAAAUGAGGGAUCCAAGAGGUCUAGCAUAAACCCAAAAUAAAAAGUUAAAAUAAAAAUGCCAUAAUACCAAAACCAGCAGAGAUCCAAAAUAAUAAACCAGCAUAAAGACAAAAUAAGCUUUAAAAAAGCCAUAACAAAAAACCACUCCGCUAAUUGGGCAUGUGCAGCAUGUGGUCAGCCAUGGGGGCUGCCAUCUUGGGGGUGGCGUCUGUUGCCCAUCUUCCAGUUAGGGCAGAAGUCCCCAUGGGUACCUCCAUCUUGGAACUAUGUGUUUUUAAUGGAGGCACUAUCUUGGCAACCAUAUGUGAAGCAGUUUGAAAUUUCCUUACCAUGUUGGCUGGUUUUUAAACAGAUUAAACAAGUCCCUUUGUGAUUGCCAUUCAUGUUAUAAGAAAACAUAAGCCAAAAUUUAAUAUUUUGGGUUCCUGCCAUUUACUUAGAUAAGAAUUCUAAGCAUGAGCCCAUAUGAGAUAGACAACAUGGUAAAAUUCAGGAUUUAUUUGAAAAGUGACAGAAAUAUACAGGAAUGUGAGGGCUUUAUUAAGAGAAACCAGGUCAGAAAGACUAAGUGGGGCAUUCCAUACCAGCAUUUUCCAGGGGGCAGGCCAGAGGCUGCGAGAGAAUGCACCGGCAGGAGAGUGGCGAUAGGGCAGGCAAGUGAAGCACGGGAGGGCAGGCAGGAGAAGCGGCAAAACGGGCCAGCUUAGCGCACUCCAGCCUCUUAUCCACUUCCAAAAGGGGAGUGGUUAUGUAGUCUGAUUGACAGGUCGUUGGAUACAGGUGUGAUCAUGCAGGGGGCAGUGGGGUGAGGCCUCCAGUUCAUGAGCCUAAUUCUAUCCCCAUGAUUGGUCCCAUAUCAGAAGCAACUUACUCUUUCCCUGUUACUCUUAUCUAAGUCAUAGAUCAUUUCUAUUUUAUAGUGUUUUUUGUAUUUUGAUGAUUUCUGAACUUAUCCAGAGGAGAAAAUAGUGCAAUCAACCAUGCAACACAUAUCUGUUACUCAGCCCAAACAAUUACUAACAGUUAUAUUGCCAGUCUCCUUUCACCCACCUUUCUGCACUUCUGCCAUAUUUUUAAAGACUCAUUUUAUUUAUUUAAAAGGCAGAGAGAAAGGGAUACACAGAAAGAGAUGACUGGUUCAUUCCACAAGUGGUUGCAAUGGCUGGAACUGGGCCAGGAUGAAACCAGGAGCCUGGAACUCCAUCUGGGAUUCCUACAUGAGUGGUAGGGGCCAAAGUACGUGGGCCAUCUGCUGCUGCUUUCCCAGGUGCAUUAGCAGGGUGCUGGAUCAAAAGUGGAGCAGCCUGGAUGUGGACCAAUGCUUUGAUAUGGGAUGCUGGUGCUGCAUUUUGCAGCUUAACCCAUUUGCCAUGGCAACAGCCCCUCCUCCCAUUUUUUUUUUUAAACUGGAAUAUUUUUUAAAGCAAAUCCCAGAUUUCAACACUUCCCUGAUGAGCAGGAAUAAUUUAAAAUAUAACUGCCCUAGCAUGGUCAUUUCUUUUUUGUGAUUUUUUUUGGGGGGGGACGGGCAGAGUGGACAGUGAGAGAGAGAGAGAAAGGUCUUCCUUUUGCCGUUGGUUCACCCUCCAAUGGCCGCCGCGGCCAGCGCACCAUGCUGAUCCGAUGGCAGGAGCCAGGUACUUAUCCUGGUCUCCCAUGGGGUGCAGGGCCCAAGCACUUGGGCCAUCCUCCACUGCACUCCCUGGCCACAGCAGAGAGCUGGCCUGGAAGAGGAGCAACCGGGACAGAAUCCGGCGCCCCGACCGGGACUAGAACACGGUGUGCCGGCGCCGCAAGGCAGAGGAUUAGCCUAGUGAGCCGCGGCACCGGCCCAUCAUGGUCAUUUCUAAUAAAAUGACCAGUGAUUCUUUAACAUUAGCUACUAACCAAUCCAUAUUCAAAUUCUUCAGUUUUCUCAAACCCUUCAUAACAGCAAGGAAGUGGUAGAAGCUUGGAUUUGAACACAGGCAGCUGGACUCUAGCAGACGCGAAAAUCUGUAACCCUGAGAAGGGAAUUCACACAGAACUGAAGGAGCUGACAGGGAGCAAAAGCAGCAGGUGACAGCAUGCCAGGAAACUGUAAGCAGAAAGUUGCUCAUAACCUCAUAGCAAAGGGUGGCUUCAGUCAGAAAGGGAGUUCAAAAUGGGUCCUUUCAGGAAACUGAUAACCUCAAGGAGGACAACUUUGGAGGCAGCAGAUGGAAAGAGGUGGCAGGGUCCAACUAGACCAAGAAGUGCAAGGUGGAUGGCAACAGCAUCAGGCCCUGGUGGGUCCUGGCAAUAUGGUUGCCACCAGGGAAAUGCAUGGGAAUGCCUCUCUCUGCACUCAGCCACAGCUGCACAAAAGCUGCACCAACCAGCAGAGAGCCUUGGUAACCCAGAAUCAUAUAUCAUGUUCACAAGACAAGACUCAAAAUACUCCCUCUGCAUUACAGGUGAUUUGGGCUGUUUUAAAACAAGAGAUAGCCAUAAUCCGUAUCUUUUGAUGGUUUUGAUUCUGUAAACAAGGAAUGAAAAAGAAAUGCUGAAAGAAGAAACUAAAGAUCAGGCUGAAGCUUUCUUAGAGCCAGGUCCUAGAAUCACAAGAUGCUGCCCAGAGAAGCUGGUGUUCCAUGAUUAACCACAAGGUGGCACUGUUUCGAGCCCAGUCCCUGAAUACUGUCAAAAAUCAAUGUAGACAAUGGUGAUUGUAUUACCAUUUUUUAAAAGAUUUAUUUAUUUUUUGGAAAGGCACAGUUACAGAGAGGCAGAGAGGGAGAGAGAGAGAGAGAGAGCGAGGAAAAAAAGUCUGCCACCUGCUGGUUCACUCCCCAAAUGGCCACAACAGCAACAGCUGGGCUGAUCUGAAUCCAAGAGCAAAAGCUUUUUCCAGAUCUCCCAUGUGGGUGCAGGGGCCCAAGGAAUUGGGUUAUCUUCUGCUGCUCUCCUAGGCCAUAACAGAGAGCUAGAUCAGAAGUAGAGCUGUCAGGAUGCUGGCACUGAAGGCAGUGGCUUUACUGGCUACGCCACAGCACCGGCCCUGAUGGUAUUACCAUUUCAAGGCAGCCAUGAAAAUGCAUCCCUUUGAUGUACUGCUGUGGGACACAUAAUUGACUGUCAGGCCCAGACACUCUGAAUUCUCUUCUGUAUCCAUCCACGGGCUGCUCCAGGACAGUGCCUGGGCGCAGCCGAGCUCCUCCCCAUGCCAUCAGUGUGGUCCAGCUUUUUUGAACCCAGCUAUGUUCAAGAUGCCCCUCUCCUGCCCAGUUGUCAGGACUUCAGUACAGCCUCAUUCAGAGGUGACCCUGUAAGAUUGUGGAGACAGGAAAUCUUCCCUAAAUAUGCAGUUUCCAAGUGGCACAGCCGGUAUCCACUGGAAAAGAAAGCAGCCUGGAUCGAGGCUACAUACAGAUUCUGGAGCAGUGAACAACGGUUUGGCCAGGACACACAGGGUUCUGAGGGAGAGGCAUGUGGGCACAAAGUGUUAUUUUUUCUUGCUCAUUAAUAUCCACUCCCAACCCCCUGGAAACAGCUACUCAACCUGGUCAUAUUAGCUGGCCUACUUCCUCAGUCUCCCCAGAACUGGUGUAAAUGGGCACAUUGCAACCGAGCCCUACAGCAUGAACACACACACACACACACCCCAACCAAGGCUGAUGUGGUUACUGCUGCCUCCAAAGGUCCAGCCUAUGGGCAGUGGAGAACAAUGGUGAGUCUCAUCCUGGCACCAUGCCCUAAGGAGACCAACAGGCCACUGAAGGCAAAUCAGGUGAGUUACAGAUUCAGUGCUCCUCUGUAAAUAAAGCAGAAUUGGCUCCUUUAAAUGGUUUUCCUCCACCCACUGGCACUGAGGCUUUGCUGUAGAGGGCGAUGGAGAGACACUGGAGCUGUGUAAGGGCUUUGCUCCCCAGCUGCUGUGGUGCAGGCACUGGGACUUUCCUGUAGAGGGCGAUGGAGAGACACUGGAGCUGUGUAAGGGCUUUGCUCCCCAAUCGCUGUGGUGCAGGCAGCUCACACGCAGUGGUCAGCAAUACCAGGCUCUCCCAGGCACCUCCCUCGGUUGUUUUGUACCAGGGCCUCUGGUGAGACACCUCUCUGUGGACAGUUUUCCCUGGUUCCCUGAAAGUUAGACUUCUAGCAGGUUCUACCAGCAGAGCUCCGCAGUCACUUCUCUACUGCCCAUUGAGCCGUGUCCUCCCCACUAGAUGUGGUCAUCAGCCUAGUGGGUUGAGGAAGCCUGUUCUUUGGGUGCUGCUUGUCAACCCAAGCAAUGAGAGUUGCUCCUUAUAUCUUCAGAUUCUUUGGCGCUCUCUUCACUUCCUUCUAGCUAAUCCUUCAUUACUCCAUUAUUUAGAAUUAACUUCCCUUUUUCAAAUUACAGUUUGGUCUCUGUGCCAUUCCCCAUAGUGAUAGGUACCUACUCCAGAUAAGGGUUUGCCUUUCCUUCCUGCAGGGACACAGACACCACCACCAUCUGGGAACUUAUAUAAGGUCUGAUCCACAGACACAGAAUCCCAUGCAACACAGCCUGUAGCCAGGUGACCCACUUCCCAGGGAAGGAAAUUUCAGAGUGUGUUACACACUGCACAUCCACAAGCAGCCAGCCUCACACAGGGCUACAGCAACCAAGGCUAAGCUGAGUGCCAUCUUUCAGGAUGCCCAUCCCCAGUAGGUUUGGGAACAUGUUCAGGAACCCACAGGAGAAAGUGGACAUAGCCCUAAGUUCCAUCACCCCCAGUGCUCCACUUUGGGAUCAGAGCAGAGUAGCAGGGAAUAGGAACAUUGGAAAUCCUGGUUCCAAAGAGGCUGGCUGUCGCCAGAGGACACAGCAAGCCAAAGUCCCAUUGAAAAACAACCAUGACUAGGCCAGCGCUGUGGCUCAAUAGGCUAAUCCUCCGCCUGCGGCGCCAGCACACCAGGUUCUAGUCCCGGCUGGGGUGCUGGAUUUUGUCCCAGUUGCUCCUCUUCCAGUCCAGCUCUCUGCUGUGGCCCGGAAGUGCAGUGGAGGAUGGCCCAGGUCCUUGGGCCCUGCACCCGCAUGGGAGACCAGGAGAAGCACCUGGCUCCUGGCUUCAGAUCGGCACCGGCCGCAGCGACCAUUGUGGGGUGAACCAACUGAAAAGGAAGACCUUUCUCCCUGUCUCUCUCUCUCACUGUCCCCUCUGCCUGUCAAAAAAAAAAAAAAUGAAAAACAA